rnacentral:piRNA from 1 species
UACACUGCCAUGGCAGUAAUUGGUGAGGU